CCAGCAUACCAUGCAGACAAUAGGAAGUUCUAUCACAGUGCCGUAGAACAAAGGCUCUGAAACCAUGAUAACAUGCCAUGGUAAUAGCCAACGAACUGAAACAAAAAAUAUCAUAUCUGAGGUGUGAAAUUUGCAAGUUGGUCACAUAAAGCUAGACUAUAGAGACACUUCAAAUUUCAGAUCGAGUCCAACUCUAAAUUUCAAUUUGAGGCAUAUAAUGCAUGGUCAUACAUACAGGCGCGUGCCCCCCCACCCCCCCACAUGAGGCUAAAUAAACUGGAUUCAAAAGACAGUGAAUCGAACUUUAGAAUGGGAGGCAUCAAUUCAUGACCCAUUUGUUGCAUAAAUUUUUCUGUGACAAUAGAAAAGGCCACCACAUUCAAAUCUUUUUUUUGUAACCUUGGAAAAUGGAAACACAGGAAGACCUAGGUUCAGAAGGGAUGCAUUCAUAGGACUGCUUGAAUCAUAGCUGUAAUUUCCCUUGCCAAUCUGCUGCCUUUCUUGGAGGAUGUGAAAAACAUAAUUUGAAAAGUUUAGGCAUGGUAAAACAUAUCUGAGGUGUGAAAUUUGCAAGUUGGUCACAUAAAGCUAGACUAUAGAGACACUUCAAAUUUCAGAUCGAGUCCAACUCUAAAUUUCAAUUUGAGGCAUAUAAUGCAUGGUCAUACAUACAGGCGCGUGCCCCCCCACAUGAGGCUAAAUAAACUGGAUUCAAAAGACAGUGAAUCGAACUUUAGAAUGGGAGGCAUCAAUUCAUGACCCAUUUGUUGCAUAAAUUUUUUCUGUGACAAUAGAAAAGGCCACCACAUUCAAAUCUUUUUUUUGUAACCUUGGAAAAUGGAAACACAGGAAGACAGGUUCAGAAGGGAUGCAUUCAUAGGACUGCUUGAAUCAUAGCUGUAGUUUCCCUUGCCAAUCUGCUGCCUUUCUUGAGGGAUGUGAAAAACAUAAUUUGAAAAGUUUAGGCAUGGUAAAACAGGAGGAAAUUUAUAUAUGGCGAAGUAUUUAUUGAAGUGCUCUAAGCAUCCAUGGUUCCGAGCAUUACUGCCGCCAUGUAACCUGAGGGUCGUUGAUUUGUGUAGAGAAAGGGAUAGAAAGGAUGUGGUGGCCACUUUAAAGGAUAUACGUAGGAUUAGAAAGGGAAUCAUUCAGUUAAACAUAUGUAUAUAAAGAAUUAGAUAGCAUUCGCGAGGCUAACAACUUUUGAAAACAUAAACUACUUCCCUGACAUUGAUGUUUGGUUGGUAAGAGUAAAAUUCAGUCCAAAACCAAGCACCUUACUAUGAAAAACUAUCUGUAGUACGUAAUUGCAAAGCUUGUUAUUACUACAAUGUAAUAUAAACUGUAGGCAUAGCCAAGGUUUACUUCUCUUUAAUGUCAAUGGAUGCAAACACCUUUUCACUCUUGAACAACUGAUGAUCUAAAGAAUAAUC
rnacentral:lncRNA from 1 species